AUGUUUGGGUUUGGUUUCCUCUGGGGUUUGGCGAAGGCGUGUGCAGUUCGUCUCCACUCGCCGGGGCCGCUCUGGCAGGGGAACAGGCAGGGCGCUAGGACCCGGGGCGCGCUCGGACCCGGGGCGAGAAGCGAGGCCGGGACCGCGGUGAAAGGCUCGGGGCUGAGAGCUCGGCCGUCGCCAGGCAACGGCCCUGACGCAACGCGGGGAAAAAACGUCCCCUCUGAACGGAGCGAAAGGAGCGGCGCCGAGAAUUCGCCGGAGCUGGGGAGGCGAGGCGGGAGCGCAGAGCUGGGGCCGGGCCGGAGCCGGGCAGCGCGGACCCGCGCAGGAGGAGGCGGCGGGGACCCCGGAGAGUCCCCAGCAGGGACCCUGGGCGCCCCGAAGGAUCUCCAGCCGCCUGCCCUUCCUGAGAGGAGGGAGCUCUGGGCCUUCGUCCUGCCAGUCUGGUCUUCGAGCGCCUUCAGGACGGAUAGACCUUGGCACGGGCUGCCUGAGAUUCCUGCGACACCUGUCUGUUCCUGCCUUCUGCCGAGCAUGGCACCCACAGGAUUCCAGGACGGAUCAUAGACCGGAGCCUCCAGGAGGGUGCCCUGCGCAGCAUACUGCGGUUCCUCUCCGCUCACCAGCCACCAGCCUCCAAGGCCACUCCCAUUCUGGAAAUGCCCUCGGGCACCUGGAUGAGGCCAUCCCAGAGCCAGACCCAACUGUGCCACCCACCAAGCCUCACCCUCAGCCCCCCACCCCCUCCCAUGUUCGGCUCCCAGGACAGACUGUAGAAUGUCUGUGCCCCAGAUCCACGUGGAAGAAGUGGGUGCAGAGGAGGAGGCAGGAGCCGCACCACCGGAUGACCACCUCCGGAGCCUGAAGGCCCUCACUGAGAAACUGAGGCUGGAGACCCGGAGGCCUUCCUACCUGGAAUGGCAGGCCAGGCUGGAGGAGCAGACGUGGCCCUUCCCGAGGGCAGCUGCAGCUACGGAGCCACAGGCGAGCAUGGAGGAGGGGGAGCGUGGUGGGCAGGAGCCCUUGCUCCCCCUGAGAGAGCCCGAGCAGCACCCCCCUCCUGCCAGGAGCGCCAGCCAGGGCACCAGACCCCUGUCCACUGGCAAGCUGGAAGGCUUUCAGAGCAUAGAUGAAGCCAUAGCAUGGCUCCGGAAGGAACUGACGGAGAUGCGGCUGCAGGACCAGCAGCUGGCCAGACAGCUCAUGCGCCUGCGCGGGGACAUCAACAAGCUGAAGAUCGAGCACACCUGCCGCCUCCACAGGAGGAUGCUCAACGAUGCCACCUAUGAGCUGGAGGAGCGGGAUGAGCUGGCCGACCUCUUCUGUGACUCCCCUCUUGCCUCCUCCUUCAGCCUGUCCACGCCACUCAAGCUCAUUGGAGUGACCAAGAUGAACAUCAACUCUCGGAGAGGCACAAUCUCAGCCUCGGACUGAGGAGGCAAGAGCCAACGGAGCUGGAGGUAGGUCGGUGGCCAGCAGUCUCCACACACCUGGGGGUUGCUCG
rnacentral:lncRNA from 13 species